rnacentral:rRNA from 1 species
CCUACGGGGGGCAGUAGUGAGGAAUAUUGGUCAAUGGGCGAGAGCCUGAACCAGCCAAGUCGCGUGAGGGAGUACUGCCCUAUGGGUUGUAAACCUCUUUUGUCGGGGAGCAAAAGCCGGACGUGUCCGGCUGUGAGAGUACCCGAAGAAAAAGCAUCGGCUAACUCCGUGCCAGCAGCCGCGGUAAUACGGAGGAUGCGAGCGUUAUCCGGAUUUAUUGGGUUUAAAGGGUGCGCAGGCGGAUUUUUAAGUCAGCGGUAAAAUCGUGGGGCUCAACCCCAUCCAGCCGUUGAAACUGGGGAUCUAGAGUGUGCGAGAGGUAUGCGGAAUGCGUGGUGUAGCGGUGAAAUGCAUAGAUAUCACGCAGAACCCCGAUUGCGAAGGCAGCAUACCGGUGCACAACUGACGCUCAGGCACGAAAGCGUGGGUAUCGAACAGGAUUAGAUACCCUGGUAGUC